AUGGAGCUUGUCUAAGGUAAGUCCUUGCUAGGUGAGCUUCUGCUUUAAAGCAUCAAGUUGUAUAAAGAAGGUAAUUUUAAAAGCAAGGUUGCCAGUUCUUUUUUUACCCAAGUGAUUUUUUAGCAAGGAGAGAUUUGAGGUUCUGUUUGGUAAUGGAAGAUGGAGAGAGGAAAAGCUGUGCAUAGCCAGCGCAUCCCAUCUGCACCGUUGUUCCCAUGCACAAAGGAGAGGAGCAUCUCAGCAAGCAUGGCCUGGGCCAUGGAAGGGAGCAUACAGACAUCUGGACCAACCCGAAAGGAGUUAGUUCUGCAGGAAUGUCCCAGAGCAUUGUGGUUUCAGCUGUCACAACGCUUUGAUCCCUUGCUUGCUGGGCUGGGGCGUUUGAGGAAUGAUGCAUGUGCUGAUGUGCAGCCAGGCACUAGGGAUGAGUCUGCUUAGCAAGGAGGGCAGGUGGUGAACCUCAUGAAGCAAUGCCUGCAGACGGGGCUUGCGGAGCAAGAGGU